GAUCCUGGCUCAGAAUGAACGCUGGCGGCGCGCCUAAUACAUGCAAGUCGAGCGAGAAGACGUAGCAAUACGUUUGUAAAGCGGCGAACGGGUGAGGAAUACAUGGGUAACCUACCCUCGAGUGGGGAAUAACUAGCCGAAAGGUUAGCUAAUACCGCGUACGCUUCUUGGACUUCGGUUCAGGGAGGAAAGCGAUACCGUGGGUAUCGCGCUCUUGGAUGGGCUCAUGUCCUAUCAGCUUGUUGGUGAGGUAACGGCUCACCAAGGCUUCGACGGGUAGCUGGUCUGAGAGGACGAUCAGCCACACUGGCACUGCGACACGGGCCAGACUCCUACGGGAGGCAGCAGUAAGGAAUAUUGCGCAAGGGGCGAAAGCCUGACGCAGCGACGCCGCGUGGGGGAUGAAGGUCUUCGGAUUGUAAACCCCUUUCGGGAGGGAAGAUGGAAUGGGGUAACCCAUUCGGACGGUACCUCCAGAAGCAGCCACGGCUAACUUCGUGCCAGCAGCCGCGGUAAUACGAAGGUGGCAAGCGUUAUUCGGAUUUACUGGGCGUACAGGGAGCGUAGGCGGUUCGGUAAGCCCUCUGUGAAAUCUCCAGGCUUAACCUGGAACAGUCGGAGGGGACUGCUGGGCUAGAGGACGGGAGAGGAGCGCGGAAUUCCCGGUGUAGCGGUGAAAUGCGUAGAGAUCGGGAGGAAGGCC
rnacentral:rRNA from 1 species